UACAGAGGGUGCAAACGUUGUUCGGAAUUACUGGGCGUAAAGCGCGUGUAGGCGGCUAAGUAAGUCGGGCGUGAAAUCCCACGGCUCAACCGUGGAAGUGCACUCGAAACUGCGUAGCUAGAGUCCUGGAGAGGAAGGUGGAAUGCUUGGUGUAGAGGUGAAAUUCGUAGAUAUCAAGCGGAACACCGGUGGCGAAGGCGGCCUUCUGGGACAGUGACGUGACGCUGAGACGCGAAAGCGUGGGGAGCAAACAGGG
rnacentral:rRNA from 1 species